UCGGGUAGUACCAGCGCCGAUUCCUACUCAUUCUAUCUUAUCGCGUACAUUUUCUGUUCAUGGAUUGGCUACCCAGGGAAACCUUUCUCCUCCUCUUUCUCUCGACAGGAUAGACUCUCUUCGGAAGAGCGAAUGAAGUUCGACGGUUAGAAUUGGACUGUAUUCCCUCCCUCGCGCCUUCUCUUUUGGCCCCGCCUCUCGGGCUCCUUGCCGCGAGCAGCCUCUCUUCGGCCAGUGGUUCGGGUGGGAGGUUGUCGGCUGUGUCUACUCAAGCGAGCUCUGAGGGGAUUCCUUUUUUUUUUUUUCUCCCUCAGCCGUGCGCGCACCUCCCAACGCUUCUGGGAUAACGAUGCAGUUUAUGUUGCUUUUUAGUCGCCAGGGAAAACUGAGACUUCAAAAAUGGUAUGUCCCAUUAUCUGACAAAGAAAAGAAGAAAAUCACAAGAGAACUUGUUCAAACAGUCUUAGCCCGUAAACCGAAAAUGUGCAGUUUCUUGGAAUGGAGAGAUCUGAAGAUUGUCUACAAAAGGUAUGCAAGCCUCUAUUUCUGCUGUGCCAUUGAAGAUCAGGAUAAUGAGUUGAUAACCUUGGAAAUAAUUCAUCGUUAUGUAGAAUUACUUGAUAAAUAUUUUGGAAGUGUCUGUGAACUUGAUAUCAUCUUUAAUUUUGAGAAGGCUUAUUUUAUUUUGGAUGAAUUCCUCUUGGGAGGAGAAGUUCAAGAGACCUCCAAGAAAAAUGUUCUUAAAGCCAUUGAACAGGCAGAUCUAUUACAAGAGAGCCAGAAUGAAGACUGGGGAGGUUUGUCUGAGGAUAUCUUAUGAUUAAGAACAAUCUAAAGCCUUAGCGCUUUGGCCCCUACCUGUACAAUUGGAUGCUAAAGAAGCAGAGACCCCUCGUAGUGUUCUUGAAGAGAUUGGACUGACAUAAAUCUUUUUUUAUGUCUUUACAGUGGCCCAUAUAAGUGUAAAUGUUCACUGCCUCCAUUUAAUGUUAGUUAAUGGUGUUAUGAUGCUAUUUGUCAGUAUUAUUGUUCUGCUAAGCUACUUAUAUUCAGGUUUAUGAGCAAAAAAUAAUUAUUAUAAAGUUGAAAAAGGGAACAAAGUUUUUAAAUUGGGGAAGGGGAUUUCACAGCAAUUUCAGCCACAUUAGUUUUAAAUUAUUGAGUCAUGACAAUUUCAGUAAUUAUUUUUUUGUGAAUUACUUUGUUAAAACACAAUGUAUCCAAUACUGUAGAUUGUGUUAUAUCCUGAAAACUAUUACAUGUGGUGAAAUGUGUUAACAAAAGAACUUGGCUUUGUAUAGCCAAAGACUUUUAUUAAGUCAUUUUAGGUUGUCACAGAUGAUUAAACAAGUAUUUACAGCUGUUUUAUUUAUACCAAAGAAUUAUAUCAAGAUCUGCAAAUCAAACUGUUGUAAGCUGUCAUGGCAGAUUCAUUUCUAAGAAUUCAGUUAUAAACAUUAUAACAAUUCCUUGGAGUGAAAUUCUAACUUGAUUUAAUAUUUUGCAAAGGAAUGUAAAUUGAAAUUAUAUAAAGUGUGUUACUUUUUAUAAGCGUAAGUACUGAAAUAUUCUUUUCAAAAGGAUAAAUUCAGAUAUUGAAACACAUUUGACAAAAAGGAAUUGUUAGAAAAUAUCUACUUGUUACCAGUAUUAUAUGCUGUGUUUUUGAAGUCAAUCUGAACAGGUACAUUACUAAUUGUAGUUGCCCAUUAAUAUUAUUCCACCAUAGAUUCUAGAUUUAAUCAUAGUGCAUUGUGGACGCAGCAGAGAAGCAAACCUUACAACAUGCCUUUGCUCAGCUUGUUCAGUUUUGACUACCAUGGUAUGCAUAUGCAUUUUUAUGGUGUAGUACGUAUCAAACAAAAUAGAAUUUUUAAAUAUGCAUAGGAUCAGACUGCAUGGAUAUUACAAAGCAAUAGUUUGUUAUCCUCAUGUGCAUUUUGCUAAAUAUUCUGUAAUGUGUUUGAAGCAAACUUUGUUCAGAGCAUUUUAUUUCUGGAAGUAGGUUGCUUUACAUAUAUUUGUGUGUGGGUACAUAGACUUCUACUAAAUUGCCUUCUAGUGCAUCAAUUUGAUUAAUUGAUAUUCUCAAAUAUUGUAAGGCAUUAAUAUAAGUAAUGUUACAUCAGAAAUAUUAUUAUAUCAUACUGAGUCCAAUAGAAUGUUAUGGAAUUAGUAAUGAUUACAUGAAGUACAUACACUGGAGUCCUAUGUUUAACUUAAUGGGAACUGGAAGAAUGAAGUUCACAUGGCAUUAGAAUGAUCCAUUUGCUAUGUGUGAGGUUGAAAUUGGGUGGAAUUACUUGACAUUUUAAAAUAUCAAAAACAAUUUUUAUGCAUUCAAACCAUGUUUAAAGUCUGCACUGUUGCCUUGUGUGUUUGUUUAAAAAAGCUUUGUGGUGUAAGAUAAGCUGUGUAGUAUAUCACACUGGUUUAGUUGUAAUAAAUGUCCAUUUUUACUCCA